rnacentral:tRNA from 7 species
CGGGAUGUGGCUCAGCUUGGUAGAGCGCCUGGUUCGGGACCAGGAGGUCGCAGGUUCAAGUCCUGUCAUCCCGACCA